GAGUUUGAUCCUGGCUCAGAUUGAACGCUGGCGGCAGGCCUAACACAUGCAAGUCGAGCGGAUGAGAAGAGCUUGCUCUUCGAUUCAGCGGCGGACGGGUGAGUAAUGCCUAGGAAUCUGCCUGGUAGUGGGGGACAACGUUUCGAAAGGAACGCUAAUACCGCAUACGUCCUACGGGAGAAAGCAGGGGACCUUCGGGCCUUGCGCUAUCAGAUGAGCCUAGGUCGGAUUAGCUAGUUGGUGAGGUAAUGGCUCACCAAGGCUACGAUCCGUAACUGGUCUGAGAGGAUGAUCAGUCACACUGGAACUGAGACACGGUCCAGACUCCUACGGGAGGCAGCAGUGGGGAAUAUUGGACAAUGGGCGAAAGCCUGAUCCAGCCAUGCCGCGUGUGUGAAGAAGGUCUUCGGAUUGUAAAGCACUUUAAGUUGGGAGGAAGGGCAGUAAGCUAAUACCUUGCUGUUUUGACGUUACCGACAGAAUAAGCACCGGCUAACUCUGUGCCAGCAGCCGCGGUAAUACAGAGGGUGCAAGCGUUAAUCGGAAUUACUGGGCGUAAAGCGCGCGUAGGUGGUUUGUUAAGUUGGAUGUGAAAGCCCCGGGCUCAACCUGGGAACUGCAUCCAAAACUGGCAAGCUAGAGUAUGGUAGAGGGUGGUGGAAUUUCCUGUGUAGCGGUGAAAUGCGUAGAUAUAGGAA
rnacentral:rRNA from 1 species